CCUACGGGUGGCAGCAGUGGGGAAUAUUGCACAAUGGGGGAAACCCUGAUGCAGCGACGCCGCGUGAGUGAAGAAGUAUUUCGGUACGUAAAGCUCUAUCAGCAGGGAAGAAAAAAAGUCCUUUGGACUUUGGACGGUACCUGACUAAGAAGCCCCGGCUAACUACGUGCCAGCAGCCGCGGAAAUACGGAGGGGGCAAGCGUGAUCCGGAGUUACGGGGUGUAAAGGGAGCGUAGACGGCAGCGCAAGUCUGGGGUGAAAUGCCGGGGCCCAACCCCGGAACUGCUUUGGAAACUGUGCGGCUGGAGUGCAGGAGAGGUACGCGGAAUUCCUAGUGUAGCGGUGAAAUGCGUAGAUAUUAGGAGGAACACCAGUGGCGAAGGCGGCUUACUGGACUGUAACUGACGUUGAGGCUCGAAAGCGUGGGGAGCAAACAGGAUUAGAUACCCUUGUAGUC
rnacentral:rRNA from 1 species